CCGCUUCUUCUCCAAGCUGCGGUGGGAGGACGCCCCCCCCAGUCCCGCGCCCACCCGCAGCCGAGCCCCGCCCGCCUCAGCAGAGGGAAGUGAGCAGAAUGCCACGCUCAUUUACACACAAAAUGACUUUGUGUCCCAUUGUGCUCGCAGUUGUUCAGCUCUCUGGGGGUGAUUAAACUGGCUGAGCUGCGGCAGCUUGAGACGAUUUCGCUAAAUCGCCUUCCUCGCUUUCUCUAAGUCGCUUCUUUUGCUAAGCUGUUAUUUUAACCAUAAAAGGUAAACAGAAGGCGCCUCCGAGUUCCCUUCAGCUCUGCGCCCUGGGCGCCUGCCCGGAGCGACAGUGCCAGGGGCCUGCAGGACUGUCCCGGGGGUGGACUGAGAGGGACGCGGACGGGCCACCUGGUGCGCGACAGCCCCGGCCGCAGAGCCUGCCGGCCCGUGUGAACUUCGGGGCUACAGGAGGCGGCUGGGCCGAACCUCCGGCCCCGCGGGGCGGGGUGGCCAAGUACCUAGUGAUGUCUGUGGCCGCCACGUCACCGCCUUUGUGGUGGGCAGAAAGGACUUCAGACCCGGCAACCAGUGUCACCAAAGGUCUUCAAAUAAUGGCAUCAACCGAAGCUGGAAAUGGGGAUGUGACCUCUGGCUGCAGGGCUGGAGCUUGCAGCUGAAGAGAAUGCCGUAGGCGGGCGGGCAGCCUGCAGACCCGGCCCCGGAAUGAACCGUGGAGGGUGGGGCUGGGCACGGCACUGGUCCACACUGGAAAAAUGAAGAUGUCUAGGAGCCUCUGAUAUUUUGUGUUUAUCAUGUAUCAAUAGUGGAGGACUCUAAACUGUGGUGUGUGUGUGUGCGUGCUCGUGCACACGCAAAUGUAUAUAAGUUCCAUGAGAAUAGUAUACACACUAGUCUAUGAUUGAUAAUUAUAUAAUGUGCUGUGUAUAAUUAUACAUACCAUAAUAUCAUAUAACAUUAGAAGUGUUAGUUCGUAUCUCUUGACCCUACCCAAACUUGUAAUUUUUUCUUGUUUGUUUUGUUUUUCGAGACAGGGUUUCUCUGUGGCUUUGGAGGCUGUCCUGGAACUGGCUCUCGUAGACCAGGCUGGCCUCGAACUCACAGAGAUCCACCUGCCUCUGCCUCCCAAGCGUUGGGAUUAAAGCAGUGUGCCGGUA